ACACACACACACACACAAAUCCACACAGACACACAAAUCCACACAGACACAGAGAGACAGACACACAGAAUCACCCUUUGAUGUGGUAGCGUAGCAGGGCUCACACAACAACUGCAAAUUCAUACGGUUAGCGCAAACCGUUAGCACAACGCUUCAACAACCACAGAACAACGUAUCAACAACCACAGCCAGGUUAAUAUUAACGGUGGUUAACACUGUAGAAGCUAUUCACUGCAACCACAAACACUAUUCGCUUUUUUGUCAGUGCAAGCAGGUGUGAGGUAACAACACUGGUAACUAGUGGCAGCAGGUGUGCGGUAACAACACUGCAGCAUGGUAUCUAGUGGCAGCAGGUGUGAGGUAACAACACUGGUAACUAGUGGCAGCAGGUGUGAGGUAACAACACUGGAGCAUGGUAACUAGUGGCAGCAGGUGUGAGGUAACAACACUGGUAUCUAGUGGCAGCAGGUGUGAGGUAACACUGGUAUCUAGUGGCAGCAGGUGUGAGGUAACAACACUGGUAUCUAGUGGCAGCAGGUGUGAGGUAACAACACUGGAGCAUGGUAACUAGUGGCAGCAGGUGUGAGGUAACAAAACUGGAGCAUGGUAACUAGUGGCAGCAGGUGUGAGGUAACAACACUGCAGCAUGGUAUCUAGUGGCAGCAGGUGUGAGGUAACAACACUGGAGCAUGGUAACUAGUGGCAGCAGGUGUGAGGUAACAACACUGGAGCAUGGUAACUAGUGGCAGCAGGUGUGAGGUAACAACACUGGAGCAUGGUAACUAGUGGCAGCAGGUGUGAGGUAACAACACUGGAGCAUGGUAACUAGUGGCAGCAGGUGUGAGGUAACAACACUGGAGCAUGGUAACUAGUGGCAGCACGUGUGAGGUAACAACACUGGAGCAUGGUAACUAGUGGCAGCAGGUGUGAGGUAACAACACUGGAGCAUGGUAACUAGUGGCAGCAGGUGUGAGGUAACAACACUGGAGCAUGGUAACUAGUGGCAGCAGGUGUGAGGUAACAACACUGGUAUCUAGUGGCAGCAGGUGUGAGGUAACAACACUGGUAUCUAGUGGCAGCAGGUGUGAGGUAACAACACUGGAGCAUGGUAACUAGUGGCAGCAGGUGUGAGGUAACAAAACUGCAGCAUGGUUUCUAGUGGCAGCAGGUGUGAGGUAACAACACUGCAGCAUGGUAACUAGUGGCAGCAGGUGUGAGGUAACAACACUGGAGCAUGGUAACUAGUGGCAGCAGGUGUGAGGUAACAACACUGGAGCAUGGUAACUAGUGGCAGCAGGUGUGAGGUAACAACACUGGAGCAUGGUAGCUAGUGGCAGCAGGUGUGAGGUAACAACACUGGAGCAUGGUAACUAGUGGCAGCAGGUGUGAGGUAACAACACUGGAGCAUGGUAACUAGUGGCAGCACGUGUGAGGUAACAACACUGGAGCAUGGUAACUAGUGGCAGCAGGUAUGAGGUAACAACACUGGAGCAUGGUAACUAGAAUCACCCUUUGACGUGGUAGCGUAGCAGGGCUCACACAACAACUGCAAAUUCAUACGGUUAGCGCAAACCGUUAGCACAACGCUUCAACAACCACAGAACAACGUUUCAACAACCACAGCCAGGUUAAUAUUAACGGUGGUUAACACUGUAGAAGCUAUUCACUGCAACCACAAACACUAUUCACUUUUUUGUCAGUGCAAGCAGGUGUGAGGUAACAACACUGGUAACUAGUGGCAGCAGGUGUGAGGUAACACUGCAGCAUGGUAUCUAGUGGCAGCAGGUGUGAGGUAACAACACUGGUAACUAGUGGCAGCAGGUGUGAGGUAACAACACUGGAGCAUGGUAACUAGUGGCAGCAGGUGUGAGGUAACAACACUGGUAUCUAGUGGCAGCAGGUGUGAGGUAACAACACUGGAGCAUGGUAACUAGUGGCAGCAGGUGUGAGGUAACAACACUGGAGCAUGGUAACUAGUGGCAGCAGGUGUGAGGUAACAACACUGGAGCAUGGUAUCUAGUGGCAGCAGGUGUGAGGUAACAACACUUGAGCAUGGUAUCUAGUGGCAGCAGGUGUGAGGUAACAACACUGGAGCAUGGUAUCUAGUGGCAGCAGGUGUGAGGUAACAACACUGGAGCAUGGUAACUAGUGGCAGCAGGUGUGAGGUAACAACAAUGGAGCAUGGUAACUAGUGGCAGCAGGUGUGAGGUAACAACACUGGAGCAUGGUAUCUAGUGGCAGCAGGUGUGAGGUAACAACACUGGAGCAUGGUAACUAGUGGCAGCAGGUGUGAGGUAACAACACUGGAGUAUGGUAACUAGUGGCAGCAGGUGUGAGGUAACAACACUGGUAACUAGUGGCAGCAGGUGUGAGGUAACAACACUGGAGCAUGGUAACUAGUGGCAGCACGUGUGAGGUAACAACACUGGAGCAUGGUAACUAGUGGCAGCAGGUGUGAGGUAACAACACUGGUAACUAGUGGCAGCACGUGUGAGGUAACAACACUGGAGCAUGGUAACUAGUGGCAGCAGGUGUGAGGUAACAACACUGGUAACUAGUGGCAGCAGGUGUGAGGUAACAACACUGGAGCAUGGUAACUAGUGGCAGCAGGUGUGAGGUAACAACACUGGAGCAUGGUAACUAGUGGCAGCACGUGUGAGGUAACAACACUGGUAACUAGUGGCAGCAGGUGUGAGGUAACAACACUGGUAACUAGUGGCAGCAGGUGUGAGGUAACAACACUGGAGCAUGGUAUCUAGUGGCAGCAGGUGUGAGGUAACAACACUGGAGCAUGGUAUCUAGUGGCAGCAGGUGUGAGGUAACUUCACUGGAGCAUGGUAACUAGUGGCAGCAGGUGUGAGGUAACAACACUGGAGCAUGGUAACUAGUGGCAGCAGGUGUGAGGUAACAACACUGGAGCAUGGUAACUAGUGGCAGCAGGUGUGAGGUAACAACACUGGAGCAUGGUAACUAGUGGCAGCAGGUGUGAGGUAACAACACUGGAGCAUGGUAACUAGUGGCAGCAGGUGUGAGGUAUCAACACUGGAGCAUGGUAUCUAGUGGCAGCAGGUGUGAGGUAACAACACUGGAGCAUGGUAUCUAGUGGCAGCAGGUGUGAGGUAACAACACUGGAGCAUGGUAUCUAGUGGCAGCAGGUGUGAGGUAACAACACUGCAGCAUGGUAACUAGUGGCAGCAGGUGUGAGGUAACAACACUGGAGCAUGGUAACUAGUGGCAGCAGGUGUGAGGUAACAACACUGCAGCAUGGUAACUAGUUGCAGCAGAUGUGAGGUAACAACACUGGUAACUAGUGGCAGCAGGUGUGAGGUAACAACACUGGAGCAUGGUAACUAGUGGCAGCAGGUGUGAGGUAACAACACUGGAGCAUGGUAACUAGUGGCAGCAGGUGUGAGGUAACAACACUGGAGCAUGGUAACUAGUGGCAGCAGGUGUGAGGUAACAACACUGGAGCAUGGUAACUAGUGGCAGCAGGUGUGAGGUAACAACACUGGAGCAUGGUAACUAGUGGCAGCAGGUGUACAGUAUGGGCUCUGUAUGUUAAUCUGAACACACUGUUGAUGGUAGUGCAUCAUUCACUGUACACACACGAGCCAUGUCCUAGUUGUAGAGAGAGAGUCUUCCACUGCUCUCCUCCUAGAGGCUAGAAGAGUGGCCAAUACCCUCG